GAUGAAGAACGUAGCGAAAUGCGAUAAGUAAUGCGAAUUGCAGAAUUUCCGUGAGUCAUCGAAUCUUUGAACGCACAUUGCGCCCUAUGGUAUUCCGUAGGGCAUGCCUGUUCGAGCGUCAUUCAAACCUUCAAGCUCUGCUUGGUGUUGGGCGUCUGUCCUGCCUCACGGCGCGGACUCGCCUCAAAUCUAUUGGCGGCCGGCACGUUGGCUUCGAGCGCAGCAGAAACGCGAACUCGAGACCGGCGGAUCGGCUCCCAGAAGCUACCCCCAUGAAUUUGACCUCGGAUCAGGUAGGGAUACCCGCUGAACUUAAGCAUAUCAAUAAGCGGAGGA
rnacentral:misc_RNA from 1 species